rnacentral:rRNA from 1 species
UAGGGAAUCUUCCGCAAUGGGCGAAAGCCUGACGGAGCAACGUCGCGUGAGUGAUGAAGGUCUUCGGAUUGUAAAACUCUGUUAUUAGGGAAGAACAAAUGUGUAAGUAUCUAUGCACGUCUUGACGGUACCUAAUCAGAAAGCCACGGCUAACUACGUGCCAGCAGCCGCGGUAAUACGUAGGUGGCAAGCGUUAUCCGGAAUUAUUGGGCGUAAAGCGCGCGUAGGCGGUUUUUUAAGUCUGAUGUGAAAGCCCACGGCUCAACCGUGGAGGGUCAUUGGAAACUGGAAAGCUUGAGUGCAGAAGAGGAAAGUGGAAUUCCAUGUGUAGCGGUGAAAUGCGCAGAGAUAUGGAGGAACACCAAUGGCGAAGGCAACUUUCUGGUCUGUAACUGACGCUGAUGUGCGAAAGCGUGGGGAUCAAACAGG